GAUGAACGCUGGCGGCGUGCCUAACACAUGCAAGUCGAGCGAAGCACUUUGCUUGGAUUCUUCGGAUGAAGAGGAUUGUGACUGAGCGGGCGACGGGUGAGUACGCGUGAGGAACCUGCCUCGGAGUGGGGAAUAACAACCCGAAAGGGUUGCUAAUACCGCAUAAUGCAGUUGGGUCGCAUGGCUCUGACUGCCAAAGAUUUAUCGCUCUGAGAUGGCCUCGCGUCUGAUUAGCUAGUUGGCGGGGUAACGGCCCACCAAGGCGACGAUCAGUAGCCGGACUGAGAGGUUGACCGGCCACAUUGGGACUGAGACACGGCCCAG
rnacentral:rRNA from 1 species